GCAGAUGCUUGCUGCGGAGCUAAAUCCCCGGCCCCACGUUCUCAUUUGAGAGAGGAAGAAAUAGGCAUAGAUGACUUAACUGAAUAAAUGACUUGGGGGUACAUUCUAAAAGAAGGAGAGCUCGGAUCAGACCUCAGCACCCCGGUUGGAAAUGUCGGUUGAGUACAGUACCUGGAUGGCCUUGGGGAAGAAACAGCAGAAUGCUGGACACAAUGGCGCAAACCUGUAAUCUGAGCACUUGGGAGGCUGAGGCAGGAGGUUUGCCAUGAGUUCCAGGCCAGCCUGACUACACAGCCAGAUCCUGUCUCGAAGAAAAAAAGAGAGAAGAAAAGAGAAGAGGAAAGGAAAAAGAAUAGAGAGACAAGUCUGAGAGUGUUGGUGCUGGCAUGAGAAUCAGAUUCGGGGGUUACUCCUGCCCCUCAACCUCACCUGCUCUGUGGGUGCAGCAGUUGUCUUCAGUAGCUGAGAACCUCCAAAAAUGUCAGGCACAGAGGUUUAGGUGGUUGGACCAAGGUCACAGGACUGGCGCAGCAGUGGUGUAACAGACCCAGCCACUUCCCCAGGAGGAAGAGGACACAAUGACCAAGUUCAAGGUGAGUUGGGCUCACUUUUGUAGGUUUUAAACGUCAUCUCCUUCCUCAGGGAUUGCACACACCUUGUUUCUUUAAUCUGAGGAAAGAUCAAAGGGAACCGUAGGCAUUCGAGAAUCUCUGCUGUCCAUGUGUGCCACCUUUU
rnacentral:lncRNA from 1 species